rnacentral:lncRNA from 1 species
CUACAUUAACCAAGCCUUCUUUGAAACCUCUCCUUUAUUUCACCCACAGAACGAAUGCAGUUCAUCUCCCGAGCUCCUGGGAUCUCUCGCCACCCAUUCUGCUGCAAGAUCAAGGUCUCCUCCAUCUCCACAGAACCCUCCAACUGCAGCUCCUCCUUCCCCUACUUGGAAGAUGAAGGCCGAGAAGGAUGUGCGCCCCAAGAGGAGGGACAGAGAAUUGCCUUCUAUCGAAAAAAUAUCUCUGAGGUCUCCAAGAAGCAAAAAGGCAUCUGGCUGCGAGGCCUUCACCUCCAUCCUGACCUCCGCUGGACCACAGGCCCUCAAUGACACGUAUGACCAGCUGGUCACAUGUUCCCAGUGCAACAUCCUUCUUCCGAGCCCAGUCCUACAGAAGCAUGAGAAAAAGUGUCAGCGGGCAGUUUCUCUACAAGCAAUUCGACGGAGCCCACGAUUUUUGGAAAAAGAAGGAGAAUCCACGCAAACCCCACCAGAAGGAAAUAACGGGCAAUGACCUUUCUCAGCGGCUGAACUGGCCCUUUUCGUUCCAGCAGGAUCGGGUUCAGUAAAACGCCUUGCCAUACCCUGAUCUGCCUUUUUAAGAAUAAAAGAGCUACAGUUCACA